CUGUACAGAGCAAGAGGAUAGCUGAGACCCAGCCCAGGUAGAAGGACCAGGAGAAGAAGGUCUGGAUCUGGGGGUGUGGAGGCUGGUCCCACCGCUCGCUGGUGUACACCGCCAUGGCCACCACCAUGGAGAUGGCUGGGGACAAGGACAAGAGAGAUGGCUCAGCUCCUCGGCAGGAAUUCGCUGGCUCGCGAUGCCCCAGUCCAGUCCAGAGUCCUUACCUGCAGCAAAGGCUGCGGUGGUUGAGACAAGCGGGCCGUGGCCUGGGGGGAACAGUGAGGGGAAGCAGGACAGGACCAGGAAGCUCACGGACACCAGGGCCCACAGAACAGCCAUAAUGCUGAAGGUCUGCGUCACGUGGAUGUAGCCUGAUCGGGAGAAGACCACUGAGCACCCAUCCCCGCUGGCAACCCCUCUGUAGGACACCCAUUCCCCUUACCUGAUAUGAUGUCCCCAUGCCCUGUUGGCCAGAGGCCCGAGUGAGCUGAGUGGGUGGGACCCACAGCCUCAAACCAGAAAUCGGUGCUCAAAGCAAUCAGGCAGAACAUCAGGCCCAGGGAGCCCCCCAGCAGGGCCAGGGACCGGCAGAGCUCCAUGGGGAUAAGCUCAGGGCUUCUGGGUCCUGGAGGAGGAAGAGGCUGCUGAUCAGACUCUUGAAUCUCAGAGAGAAGGAGGCUGUGCACCCAGACUCCUGGGUCCUUAGAGCCCAAGAAAGAGAGAACAGCAAGCAGUUGGGGCAGUGAGGGGUCCUGCGCUUUGUCACAUGAGGCUGGUUUGGUUUCACACAGUUCCCGGUAGCUUUUCACAUACCCUCCCUUCCUGGAUUGCACAGGCAACGUCCUCCCUCCCCUCCCUGGGGUCCAGUUCCCCGCUUAGUGUGUGAUGGGGGAGGGCACUGAGGGUGUCAGAUCAUCAGUGGUUUGGGCGGUGGUUUAGUACUUGCCUCUGUCACAGAUUCUACAACUCCCACCCAUGGAACCUUCAACACCAAGUCGGGGCUUCCUGGAAGAGGGGCUCUUCCUGCCUUCGCUUGGCCUUCUUCCUGCCACUCUGUGAAGACAGUGGCUUGCUUCCCCUUCACCUUCCACCAUGAUUGUAAGUUUCCUGAGGCCUCCCCAGCCAUGCUGAACUGUGAAUCAAAUAAACCUCUUUCCUUUAUAAAUUA